AUAAUGGGUCAGCGACUUAUAUUCUGUAGCAAGGUUAACCGAAUAGGGGAGCCGAAGGGAAACCGAGUCUUAACUGGGCGUUAAGUUGCAGGGUAUAGACCCGAAACCCGGUGAUCUAGCCAUGGGCAGGUUGAAGGUUGGGUAACACUAACUGGAGGACCGAACCGACUAAUGUUGAAAAAUUAGCGGAUGACUUGUGGCUGGGGGUGAAAGGCCAAUCAAACCGGGAGAUAGCUGGUUCUCCCCGAAAGCUAUUUAGGUAGCGCCUCGUGAAUUCAUCUCCGGGGGUAGAGCACUGUUUCGGCAAGGGGGUCAUCCCGACUUACCAACCCGAUGCAAACUGCGAAUACCGGAGAAUGUUAUCACGGGAGACACACGGCGGGUGCUAACGUCCGUCGUGAAGAGGGAAACAACCCAGACCGCCAGCUAAGGUCCCAAAGUCAUGGUUAAGUGGGAAACGAUGUGGGAAGGCCCAGACAGCCAGGAUGUUGGCUUAGAAGCAGCCAUCAUUUAAAGAAAGCGUAAUAGCUCACUGGUCGAGUCGGCCUGCGCGGAAGAUGUAACGGGGCUAAACCAUGCACCGAAGCUGCGGCAGCGACGCUGAUGCGUUGUUGGGUAGGGGAGCGUUCUGUAAGCCUGCGAAGGUGUGCUGUGAGGCAUGCUGGAGGUAUCAGAAGUGCGAAUGCUGACAUAAGUAACGAUAAAGCGGGUGAAAAGCCCGCUCGCCGGAAGACCAAGGGUUCCUGUCCAACGUUAAUCGGGGCAGGGUGAGUCGACCCCUAAGGCGAGGCCGAAAGGCGUAGUCGAUGGGAAACAGGUUAAUAUUCCUGUACUUGGUGUUACUGCGAAGGGGGGACGGAGAAGGCUAUGUUGGCCGGGCGACGGUUGUCCCGGUUUAAGCGUGUAGGCUGGUUUUCCAGGCAAAUCCGGAAAAUCAAGGCUGAGGCGUGAUGACGAGGCACUGCGGUGCUGAAGCAACAAAUGCCCUGCUUCCAGGAAAAGCCUCUAAGCAUCAGGUAACAUCAAAUCGUACCCCAAACCGACACAGGUGGUCAGGUAGAGAAUACCAAGGCGCUUGAGAGAACUCGGGUGAAGGAACUAGGCAAAAUGGUGCCGUAACUUCGGGAGAAGGCACGCUGAUAUGUAGGUGAAGUCCCUCGCGGAUGGAGCUGAAAUCAGUCGAAGAUACCAGCUGGCUGCAACUGUUUAUUAAAAACACAGCACUGUGCAAACACGAAAGUGGACGUAUACGGUGUGACGCCUGCCCGGUGCCGGAAGGUUAAUUGAUGGGGUUAGCGCAAGCGAAGCUCUUGAUCGAAGCCCCGGUAAACGGCGGCCGUAACUAUAACGGUCCUAAGGUAGCGAAAUUCCUUGUCGGGUAAGUUCCGACCUGCACGAAUGGCGUAAUGAUGGCCAGGCUGUCUCCACCCGAGACUCAGUGAAAUUGAACUCGCUGUGAAGAUGCAGUGUACCCGCGGCAAGACGGAAAGACCCCGUGAACCUUUACUAUAGCUUGACACUGAACAUUGAGCCUUGAUGUGUAGGAUAGGUGGGAGGCUUUGAAGUGUGGACGCCAGUCUGCAUGGAGCCGACCUUGAAAUACCACCCUUUAAUGUUUGAUGUUCUAACGUUGACCCGUAAUCCGGGUUGCGGACAGUGUCUGGUGGGUAGUUUGACUGGGGCGGUCUCCUCCUAAAGAGUAACGGAGGAGCACGAAGGUUGGCUAAUCCUGGUCGGACAUCAGGAGGUUAGUGCAAUGGCAUAAGCCAGCUUGACUGCGAGCGUGACGGCGCGAGCAGGUGCGAAAGCAGGUCAUAGUGAUCCGGUGGUUCUGAAUGGAAGGGCCAUCGCUCAACGGAUAAAAGGUACUCCGGGGAUAACAGGCUGAUACCGCCCAAGAGUUCAUAUCGACGGCGGUGUUUGGCACCUCGAUGUCGGCUCAUCACAUCCUGGGGCUGAAGUAGGUCCCAAGGGUAUGGCUGUUCGCCAUUUAAAGUGGUACGCGAGCUGGGUUUAGAACGUCGUGAGACAGUUCGGUCCCUAUCUGCCGUGGGCGCUGGAGAACUGAGGGGGGCUGCUCCUAGUACGAGAGGACCGGAGUGGACGCAUCACUGGUGUUCGGGUUGUCAUGCCAAUGGCACUGCCCGGUAGCUAAAUGCGGAAGAGAUAAGUGCUGAAAGCAUCUAAGCACGAAACUUGCCCCGAGAUGAGUUCUCCCUGACUCCUUGAGAGUCCUGAAGGAACGUUGAAGACGACGACGUUGAUAGGCCGGGUGUGUAAGCGCAGCGAUGCGUUGAGCUAACCGGUACUAAUGAACCGUGAGGCUUAACCUUAC
rnacentral:rRNA from 1 species